rnacentral:rRNA from 1 species
UACGUAGGGUGCGAGCGUUAAUCGGAAUUACUGGGCGUAAAGCGUGCGCAGGCGGUUUUGUAAGCCAGAUGUGAAAUCCCCGGGCUCAACCUGGGAAUGGCAUUUGGGACUGCAAGGCUGGAGUUUGGCAGAGGAGACUGGAAUUCCCGGUGUAGCAGUGAAAUGCGUAGAUAUCGGGAGGAAUACCGAUGGCGAAGGCGGCUUCCUGGACCGACACUGACGCUGAGGCGCGAAAGCCAGGGGAGCAAACGGG